rnacentral:rRNA from 1 species
UACGGAGGGUGCGAACGUUAAUCGGAAUCACUGGGCGUAAAGCGCGCGUAGGCGGUCUGUUAAGUGGGAUGUGAAAUCCCCGGGCUUAACCUGGGAAUUGCAUUUCAAACUGGCCGACUAGAGUACGGUAGAGGGAGGUAGAAUUUCCUGUGUAGCGGUGAAAUGCGCAGAUAUCAGGAAGAACACCCGUGGCGAAGGCGGCUCUCUGGGACGGUACUGACGCUGAGACGCGAAAGCGUGGGUAGCAAACAGG